AUUGAACGCUGGCGGCAGGCCUAACACAUGCAAGUCGAGCGAGCGGCGGACGGGUGAGUAAUGUAUGGGGACUGCCCGAUAGAGGGGGAUAACUACUGGAAACGGUAGCUAAUACCGCAUACUAUCGGAUAACCCAUAUGGGAUUAGCUAGUAGGUGAGGUAAUGGCUCACCUAGGCGACGAUCCCUAGCUGGUCUGAGAGGAGUAUCAGCCACACUGGGGUGGAGACACGGCCCAGACUCCUACGGAGGCAGCAGGGGGGAAUCGUGCACAAGGGGAGGAAGCCUGAUGCAGACAUGCCGCGUGUAUGAAGAAGGCCAUAGGGUUGGAAAGUACUUUCAGUCGGGAGGCGUUACCGACAGAAGAAGCACCGGCUAACUCCGUGCCAGCAGCCGCGGUAAUUC
rnacentral:rRNA from 1 species